UACAGAGGGUGCGAGCGUUAAUCGGAAUUACUGGGCGUAAAGCGCGCGUAGGCGGCUUUUCAAGUCGAUUGUGAAAUCCCCGGGCUUAACCGGGGAACUGCAUCUGAUACUGGAUGGCUUGAGUUCGGGAGAGGGAUGCGGAAUUCCAGGUGUAGCGGUGAAAUGCGUAGAUAUCUGGAGGAACACCGGUGGCGAAGGCGGCAUCCUGGACCGACACUGACGCUGAGGAGCGAAAGCCAGGGGAGCAAAGCGGG
rnacentral:rRNA from 1 species